CGGGGUGCAGCAGGCGCGAAAACUUUACCAUGCUGGCAACAGCGAUAAGGGGACCUCGAGUGCCAGGAUACAAUCUUGGCUGUCGCGAUGCCUAAAAAGCAUUGCAUAGCAAGGGCCGGGCAAGACCGGUGCCGGCCGCCGCGGUAACACCGGCGGCUCGAGUGGUAACCGCUAUUAUUGGGUCUAAAGGGUCUGUAGCCGGCCGGAUAAGUCUUUUGGGAAAUCCAGCUGCUCAACAGUUGGGCUUUCAGAAGAUACUGUUCGGCUCGAGACCGGGAGAGGUGAGAGGUACUUCAGGGGUAGGGGUGAAAUCUUGUAAUCCUUGAAGGACCACCAGUGGCGAAGGCGUCUCACCAGAACGGAUCUGACGGCAAGGGACGAAAGCUGGGGGCACGAACCGGAUUAGAUACCCGGGUAGUCCUAGCCGUAAACGAUACUCGCUAGGUGUCAGCCACGGUGCGACCGUGGUUGGUGCCGUAGGGAAGCCGUGAAGCGAGCCACCUGGGAAGUACGGCCGCAAGGCUGAAACUUACAGGAAUUGGCGGGGGAGCAC
rnacentral:rRNA from 1 species